ensembl:lncRNA
UAAAAUAAAUAUUUUUGGAGUAUGCAUAAAUUUAAAUGUUCAUUUUAUUUUAUUUUUUUUAUUUAAAAUUAUUUUUCUAUGUAUUAAUUCGAGAUAGAAACACACAGGCAAUAUUAUCUGAAAAGGACCAAAAGGAUUUGCUACAAGCCGCUAAUUUUAGCGAAGCAGAUAUAAAAAAAAUGUAUAAAAGGUUUGUUCAGCUUGAUACUAACAAAAAUGGACAGCUAGAUCCUCAUGAGUUAUUUAAUGUUCCUGAAAUAAGUGACAACCCAUUAGUAAAAAGAGUUAUAUCAAUAUUUGAUUCCAACUCAGAUGGAAAAGUAUCUUUCGUUGAAUUUUUAGUUGGAAUAAGUAAAUCAUAGAAGAUUUUUUUUUUUUUUUUUUUAUUACCUCAUUAAAUUAUUAUCAUUUAAAUAUCAUUACGUACAAGUAAACUUUUAUGCAUUUUUUUUUUUUUUUUUUUUUUUUUAUAGCAAAGCUAGCUUCAAGUACUGACGAUUUUCAAAAGAAGAAAUUCGCUUUUGA